CACACUAUCAUUAACUGAAUCCAUAGGUUAAUGAGGCGAACCGGGGGAACUGAAACAUCUAAGUACCCCGAGGAAAAGAAAUCAACCGAGAUUCCCCCAGUAGCGGCGAGCGAACGGGGAGCAGCCCAGAGCCUGAAUCAGUGUGUGUGUUAGUGGAAGCGUCUGGAAAGGCGCGCGAUACAGGGUGACAGCCCCGUACACAAAAAUGCACAUGCUGUGAGCUCGAUGAGUAGGGCGGGACACGUGGUAUCCUGUCUGAAUAUGGGGGGACCAUCCUCCAAGGCUAAAUACUCCUGACUGACCGAUAGUGAACCAGUACCGUGAGGGAAAGGCGAAAAGAACCCCGGCGAGGGGAGUGAAAAAGAACCUGAAACCGUGUACGUACAAGCAGUGGGAGCACGCUUAGGCGUGUGACUGCGUACCUUUUGUAUAAUGGGUCAGCGACUUAUAUUCUGUAGCAAGGUUAACCGAAUAGGGGAGCCGAAGGGAAACCGAGUCUUAACUGGGCGUUAAGUUGCAGGGUAUAGACCCGAAACCCGGUGAUCUAGCCAUGGGCAGGUUGAAGGUUGGGUAACACUAACUGGAGGACCGAACCGACUAAUGUUGAAAAAUUAGCGGAUGACUUGUGGCUGGGGGUGAAAGGCCAAUCAAACCGGGAGAUAGCUGGUUCUCCCCGAAAGCUAUUUAGGUAGCGCCUCGUGAAUUCAUCUCCGGGGGUAGAGCACUGUUUCGGCAAGGGGGUCAUCCCGACUUACCAACCCGAUGCAAACUGCGAAUACCGGAGAAUGUUAUCACGGGAGACACACGGCGGGUGCUAACGUCCGUCGUGAAGAGGGAAACAACCCAGACCGCCAGCUAAGGUCCCAAAGUCAUGGUUAAGUGGGAAACGAUGUGGGAAGGCCCAGACAGCCAGGAUGUUGGCUUAGAAGCAGCCAUCAUUUAAAGAAAGCGUAAUAGCUCACUGGUCGAGUCGGCCUGCGCGGAAGAUGUAACGGGGCUAAACCAUGCACCGAAGCUGCGGCAGCGACGCUUAUGCGUUGUUGGGUAGGGGAGCGUUCUGUAAGCCUGUGAAGGUGUACUGUGAGGUAUGCUGGAGGUAUCAGAAGUGCGAAUGCUGACAUAAGUAACGAUAAAGCGGGUGAAAAGCCCGCUCGCCGGAAGACCAAGGGUUCCUGUCCAACGUUAAUCGGGGCAGGGUGAGUCGACCCCUAAGGCGAGGCCGAAAGGCGUAGUCGAUGGGAAACAGGUUAAUAUUCCUGUACUUGGUGUUACUGCGAAGGGGGGACGGAGAAGGCUAUGUUGGCCGGGCGACGGUUGUCCCGGUUUAAGCGUGUAGGCUGGUUUUCCAGGCAAAUCCGGAAAAUCAAGGCUGAGGCGUGAUGACGAGGCACUACGGUGCUGAAGCAACAAAUGCCCUGCUUCCAGGAAAAGCCUCUAAGCAUCAGGUAACAUCAAAUCGUACCCCAAACCGACACAGGUGGUCAGGUAGAGAAUACCAAGGCGCUUGAGAGAACUCGGGUGAAGGAACUAGGCAAAAUGGUGCCGUAACUUCGGGAGAAGGCACGCUGAUAUGUAGGUGAAGCGACUUGCUCGUGGAGCUGAAAUCAGUCGAAGAUACCAGCUGGCUGCAACUGUUUAUUAAAAACACAGCACUGUGCAAACACGAAAGUGGACGUAUACGGUGUGACGCCUGCCCGGUGCCGGAAGGUUAAUUGAUGGGGUCAGCGCAAGCGAAGCUCUUGAUCGAAGCCCCGGUAAACGGCGGCCGUAACUAUAACGGUCCUAAGGUAGCGAAAUUCCUUGUCGGGUAAGUUCCGACCUGCACGAAUGGCGUAAUGAUGGCCAGGCUGUCUCCACCCGAGACUCAGUGAAAUUGAACUCGCUGUGAAGAUGCAGUGUACCCGCGGCAAGACGGAAAGACCCCGUGAACCUUUACUAUAGCUUGACACUGAACAUUGAGCCUUGAUGUGUAGGAUAGGUGGGAGGCUUUGAAGUGUGGACGCCAGUCUGCAUGGAGCCGACCUUGAAAUACCACCCUUUAAUGUUUGAUGUUCUAACGUGGACCCGUGAUCCGGGUUGCGGACAGUGUCUGGUGGGUAGUUUGACUGGGGCGGUCUCCUCCUAAAGAGUAACGGAGGAGCACGAAGGUUGGCUAAUCCUGGUCGGACAUCAGGAGGUUAGUGCAAUGGCAUAAGCCAGCUUGACUGCGAGCGUGACGGCGCGAGCAGGUGCGAAAGCAGGUCAUAGUGAUCCGGUGGUUCUGAAUGGAAGGGCCAUCGCUCAACGGAUAAAAGGUACUCCGGGGAUAACAGGCUGAUACCGCCCAAGAGUUCAUAUCGACGGCGGUGUUUGGCACCUCGAUGUCGGCUCAUCACAUCCUGGGGCUGAAGUAGGUCCCAAGGGUAUGGCUGUUCGCCAUUUAAAGUGGUACGCGAGCUGGGUUUAGAACGUCGUGAGACAGUUCGGUCCCUAUCUGCCGUGGGCGCUGGAGAACUGAGGGGGGCUGCUCCUAGUACGAGAGGACCGGAGUGGACGCAUCACUGGUGUUCGGGUUGUCAUGCCAAUGGCACUGCCCGGUAGCUAAAUGCGGAAGAGAUAAGUGCUGAAAGCAUCUAAGCACGAAACUUGCCCCGAGAUGAGUUCUCCCUGACUCCUUGAGAGUCCUGAAGGAACGUUGAAGACGACGACGUUGAUAGGCCGGGUGUGUAAGCGCAGCGAUGCGUUGAGCUAACCGGUACUAAUGAACCGUGAGGCUUAACCUUACAACGCCGAAGCUGUU
rnacentral:rRNA from 1 species